GAUGAACGCUGGCGGCGCGCCUAAUACAUGCAAGUCGAGCGAACGGACGAGAAGCUUGCUUCUCUGAUGUUAGCGGCGGACGGGUGAGUAACACGUGGAUAACCUACCUAUAAGACUGGGAUAACUUCGGGAAACCGGAGCUAAUACCGGAUGAUAUUUUGAACCGCAUGGUUCAAAAGUGAAAGACGGUCUUGCUGUCACUUAUAGAUGGAUCCGCGCUGCAUUAGCUAGUUGGUAAGGUAACGGCUUACCAAGGCAACGAUGCAUAGCCGACCUGAGAGGGUGAUCGGCCACAAUGGAAAGGAGACACGGUCCAGACUCCUACGGGAGGCAGCAGUAGGGAAUCUUCCGCAAUGGGCGAAAGCCUGACGGAGCAAAGCCGCGUGAGUGAUGAAGGGCUUCGGAUCGUAAAACUCUGUUAUUAGGGAAGAACAUAUGUGUAAGUAACUGUGCACAUCUUGACGGUACCUAAUCAGAAGGCCAAGGCUAACUACGUG
rnacentral:rRNA from 1 species